ACCUCAACUAAUCACUAAAAAGAUACAAACUAACGGACUUGGUUUGAAGACAAGAACUAGCUAUAUGCCAUCUGGGUUUUACAUAGGUUCUAGGGAUUUGAACUCAAGUCCUUAUGAUUGGUUUUUACCACACCGAGCCAUCUCCCCAGUCCUAAAAUCAUGUGUUAUAUAGUUGCAUGUACAUUCUAUUGGGCCUGUUCUUGCUCAUGAGUGCCAAGAAUGGGAACAGAGCUACCACCCACCUGCAGCUUGCCUGUCCACUGAUCAUCUUGUUUCCUCCAGACUUGGGAAUUGUCCCCACCAAUCAGCACUACAACUGGCAGGUGGCAUGCAGUGGCAGAAGGGAGGACCCAGAAGGAACCUUUCCAGAACAGCCUCAGCAAUAAGGAGACUGAAAUGGGAUUGCAAAACAGCUUGCAAAAUGGAAAUCCCAGCCAGCAUGGUGGCAGGCAUGGUAAAAUCUCAUGGUGUCAAUAUGACCAUAUGUCCUCUGGUCAUCACUUAAACAUUUCAUCAAUAAAGAAAGGGGAGGAUGUAGCAGCCCCAGUCACGGA